GAUCCCUUCGUCUAAACGGCCAGGACACCGCCCUUUCAAGGCAAUAAUGCGGGUUCGAUCCCCGCAGGGAUUG
rnacentral:tRNA from 1 species